UACGUAGGGCGCAAGCGUUGUCCGGAAUUAUUGGGCGUAAAGGGCUCGUAGGCGGUCUGUUGCGUCAGGAGUGAAAACUCGGGGCUUAACCCCGAGCCUGCUUCUGAUACGGGCAGACUAGAGGUAUGCAGGGGAGAACGGAAUUCCUGGUGUAGCGGUGAAAUGCGCAGAUAUCGGGAAGAACACCCGUGGCGAAGGCGGCUCUCUGGGACGGUACUGACGCUGAGACGCGAAAGCGUGGGGAGCGAACAGG
rnacentral:rRNA from 1 species